rnacentral:lncRNA from 1 species
CUAUGGGGCACAGCUCAGCACCACCCAAUGACGUCAGCCCCUCCCAAUGACGUCACCACCCAAUGACGUCACCCCGCGCCAUGACGUCACAGCGGCACUUCCGUUUAUUACAAGCGAUCGUUUGGCCCCAAAUCCGCCCCUCCCCCCCACACCUCCGCCCCACAGCGCCGCCGCAGCCAUUCAGUGGGGCAGGACACCACUUGUGGGGCAGAGACUCACUUAUGGGGCAGAUCCCACUUAUGGGGCAGAGACUCACUUGUGGGUCACUGUCACACUUAUGGGUCACUGUCACACUUAUGGGUCGCAGCUCCACUUGUGGGUCGCAGCUCCACUUGUGGGUCAGUCCGUGGGUCCGUCCGUGUCUUCCUUUAUGGGCCCACAUCCACUUGUGGGGCAGCGCUAUGGGGCAGAGCUUCACUUAUGGGGCACGGUCCCACUUGUGGGGCAGACCCCCACUUAUGGGGCAGGGCUCAACUUAUGGGUCAGUCCGUGUGGGUCGCGGCCCCACUUAUGGGUCGCAGCUCCACUUGUGGGUCGGAUCCCAGUUGUGGGGCAGAGCCGCACUUAUGGGACAGAGCUCCACUUGUGGGGCAGGGCUCAACUUAUGGGUCGCAGCUCCACUUGUGGGUCAGUGCGUGGGUCCAUCCAUGUCCUCCCGUGGGUCCACAUCCACUUGUGGGGCAGAGCUAUGGGGCAGAGCUUCACUUGUGGGUCAGAGCUCCACUUGUGGGUCAGAGCUCCACUUAUGGGUCAGUCCGUGGGUCCGUCCGUGUUUUCAUUUCUGGGCCCACAUCCACUUGUGGGGCAGAGCCACGGAGUGCAGCUAUGGGGCAGCGCUAUGGGGCAGGGUCCCACUUGUGGGGCAGGGCUUCACUUAUGGGUCAGAGCUUCACGUACUUCUGGGGCAGCGCCCCACUUAGGGGUCACGGUCCCACUUAUGGGUCAGUCUGUAUGGGGUGGCGCUGUGGGGCAGAGCCAUGGAGGGUCGCUAUGGGGCAGAGCCCCACUUAUGGGGCAGAGCGUCACUUAUGGGUCUGAGCCCCACUUGUGGGUCAGUCUUUGUGGGUUAAUGCCCUACUUAUGGGUCAGAUCCCACUUAUGGGUCACAGCCCCACUUGUGGGUCAGGGCCCCACUUAUGGGUCACAGCCCCACUUAUGGGGCAGAGCUCCACUUGUGGGUCACACCUCCAUUUAUGGGUCACAGCCCCUGUGACCUAUGGGGCAAAGGCUGACCUAUGGGGCAGAGACGCAGCUAUGGGGCAGAGAUCCUCAUCUAUGGGGCGGAGACCCAUCUAUGGGGCAGAGACCCUCAUCUAUGGGGCAGAGAUCCUCAUCUAUGGGGUGGAGGCUCUGACCUGC